GGACCACCAGGCAGAAGCCUUGCUGCACGCACCACCCACCUCUCUGCUGGACGUCCUCAAAGAAGCUGGGGGAGACGCGGUGGUGGAGUCCGAAACGGCAGAGGCACCCGUUGCUUUGGCUCCAACCACCCCAGGGACCACAGUAGACUCGCUGGGAUGCACAGAAGGACUAAAGAGCGUUUCAGAGGAAAGAAGGUUUGCAGGCUCCCCCCAGGAAAAGGAAAACCGAAAGAAAAGAAAGAGAAAACAGGCCUGGGCAGAGGAGAAGGAAUGCCAACGAGAAAAGAAAAGAAGGAAGAGAGAAAAAGAUGGGGACUUAAAAGAAGCGGGAAGGUCCAGCAGGUCAAGAAGCCCAGGUGCCGUUUCCCUGUUACUGGCUGAAGCCCUGUGACUCCCGGGCCCGCCCCCCGCC